CCAUGGCCAAACACAAAACGCCUGUACUCGAAUCCGCCACCAUGUAGUUCUCUCCCGGGAGCUCCAAAUCCGCGUCUUUAAAAUGAAAAACGAGCUUAGGAACAGCAAUUUUCUUCGCGUUACUAGGUAACGUGAAGCACAAGUCAAGCCCUGUUGAUCCUGAGUCAUCUACCGGUAAACUCAUCCGAGAUGUAAACUCCUUACUCAAUGCCGUAAACGCUGCCUCCUCGAGGUACGUGAUGGUCGUGCCAGAGUCUAUGAUCAUACCUCCUGUUCCAUCUUCCGCUAGCUCGAAAGUAGACUUCUCAAUAGGCAGGCGUUUUGAUCCAACGGUGAUGCCUUGUAAUGAUUUUCAUAGAAUCAUGUAAUGUCAAUUUCUCAGUUGUUCACGACGGAACCUGACCUUCCAAAAUAAUCAUCACUCUUUUACGUAAAUUGUAAUACUCACUCCAUUUUCAUAUAUAUGAUCAUUAAAAAGUUUUUGUUAUUUUAAAAUAUAAGAUGCUUUGAAAUUUUAUGGUUUUAAGUUGAUUUUAUUGAAAAUUGUUCAAUAAAUUAAAUUUCAAAAUCUUUUUAAUAAUUAGUUGAAUUAUUUUAAUUUUUAUCUUAGAAGUGCUUAAUUUUCAGAAAAAUGCAAUUUUUUAAUCUUUGUGAUUUAACCCAAAACAUAGUAUAUUAUGAAACAGAAGGAGUCUACUUUUAAUUUAGAUAAAUUCUAAAAUAUAUAUGCAAAAUAUAUUUAUUAUUUGUUACUAUAUAUAUUUCUAGAGAUCUUUGAGAUCAAACUCAAAAUAUAAUAAUUAUCAUUAUGGUUUCACGGACAUAUCAACAAGCACAUAAAUUUACUUAACUUUAAAUCAUCGUUUAUCAAUAAUGAUAUUUACAAAGGUGUUUUACUACUUUUUCUUGUUUUACAUUUUGUUUCUUUUGUUCAAUUUUUUUUUUUCUGUCUUCUCAGAGAUAUCUAUUAGUGUAGAAUAUUGAGGCCUUUAUAAUAAUGUGAUGACAAAGUAUAAAAGUUUAUUAAUAAUAAAAUAAGGAAACAAUUUAAAAUCUUCAAUUUUCCACAUUCAGUGGGAACAAACGACACCGUAUCCUUCUCAAGAUCAUGAACUACAUUAAAAUUCUGCUGCUGAACAUUUCCGAAAAUAGACAUCCCAUUAGAGCUUCCCAUGGCCAAACACAAAACGCCUGUACUCGAAUCCGCCACCAUGUAGUUCUCUCCCGGGAGCUCCAAAUCCGCGUCUUUAAAAUGAAAAACGAGCUUAGGAACAGCAAUUUUCUUCGCGUUACUAGGUAACGUGAAGCACAAGUCAAGCCCUGUUGAUCCUGAGUCAUCUACCGGUAAACUCAUCCGAGAUGUAAACUCCUUACUCAAUGCCGUAAACGCUGCCUCCUCGAGGUACGUGAUGGUCGUGCCAGAGUCUAUGAUCAUACCUCCUGUUCCAUCUUCCGCUAGCUCGAAAGUAGACUUCUCAAUAGGCAGGCGUUUUGAUCCAACGGUGAUGCCUUGUAAGUCAAGGUAGUAGAAAGAAGGCUGGUUAGGGUUUCUUAGCAGCGACAUCGUUUUGGUGA
rnacentral:lncRNA from 1 species